AUACGGAGGGUGCAAGCGUUAUCCGGAUUCAUUGGGUUUAAAGGGUACGUAGGCGGAUAGAUAAGUUAGUGGUUAAAUCCCGAAGCUCAACUUCGGAACUGCCAUUAAAACUGUCUAUCUUGAAUUUGGUUGAAGUGGGCGGAAUAUGACAUGUAGCGGUGAAAUGCAUAGAUAUGUCAUGGAACACCAAUAGUGAAGACAGCUCACUAAGCCAAUAUUGACGCUGAGGUACGAAAGCAUGGGUAGCGAACAGGAUUAGAAACCCCGGUAGUCC
rnacentral:rRNA from 1 species